AUUAAGUGACCUGAAUCCUUAUUUAAAUUAAAUACAGUGGUAAAAUAAAAUAAAAGUAAAAUUUCUAUAAAAUUAUAGGUCUUUUAUUUUAUUUUAGAAUAAGGUUCUUUUUAAAACCUUAUUAAACUCCAUCUAUUUGAUAUUGAUUAGAAUAAAGAGUUUCAGUCCUAUUAGAAUAAGGUUUUACAAGCCUAUAAAUAGACAUAGUCUAUUUCUCUUGUAAUGAAUUCGAAUUCGACAUAGUAAAUUUUUUUCUCCUCU
rnacentral:lncRNA from 1 species